rnacentral:rRNA from 1 species
UACGUAGGUGGCAAGCGUUAUCCGGAUUUAUUGGGCGUAAAGGGAACGCAGGCGGUCUUUUAAGUCUGAUGUGAAAGCCUUCGGCUUAACCGGAGUAGUGCAUUGGAAACUGGGAGACUUGAGUGCAGAAGAGGGGAGUGGAACUCCAUGUGUAGCGGUGAAAUGCGUAGAUAUAUGGAGGAACACCAGUGGCGAAAGCGGCUCUCUGGUCUGUAACUGACGCUGAGGUUCGAAAGCGUGGGUAGCAAACAGG